UGAAAGUGGAUAGCACGCACUUGAUACACAAGGCCAAUUCUUUCUACAACCUGUCAAACUGAUCCAGUUGGCAGCAGGACACACAGGCCUCUACCCUGAACCACAUGACCGUCCACUGAUUGAUCCACUUCUUCACGUCUGGCAGCGAGUAAUUGUACAAGCUAAGCAGCAUAGGUCAUCGCCGAUGUUUUCCGCACAGCGGCCUGAUGUCCAAGGGAAAGGCAAGCCAACGCAGCACAACCGAACGAGAUGAAGAAACAUGAAUUUCUCAAGCGAUUCGCUGGUGAUUUAUUUUCGCAACGUAAAAAUAGAUAUUUGUCCACCUACAAGUAAUCAAGCUUCAGCCCUCUUCCUUUAGGAGUAUCGGUGGUAAGGGUGGCGACUUAAUAAUAAUUUUUCAAUCGAGUGAGACAUUGACAUUUCAUCAUAGCCUUAUCAUGGUCAUUAAUGAAAAUCAUCGUAAUCUGUUUCUAUAAGAACGAUUCUAAGCUUUACCUCUUCU